GACGAACGCUGGCGGCGUGCUUAACACAUGCAAGUCGAACGGAAAGGCCCCCAUCUUGGUGGGGGUGCUCGAGUGGCGAACGGGUGAGUAACACGUGGGUGAUCUGCCCUGUACUUCGGGAUAAGCUUGGGAAACUGGGUCUAAUACCGGAUAGGACCAUGGUUUAGUGUCUCAUGGUGGAAAGAUUAUUGUUUUGGUGCAGGAUGAGCUCGCGGCCUAUUAGCUUGUUGGUGGGGUAAUGGCCUACCAAGGCGUCGACGGGUAGCCGGCCUGAGAGGGUGGACGGCCACAUUGGGACUGAGAUACGGCCCAGACUCCUACGGGAGGCAGCAGUGGGGAAUAUUGCACAAUGGGCGCAAGCCUGAUGCAGCGACGCCGCGUGGGGGAUGACGGCCUUCGGGUUGUAAACUCCUUUCGUUAGGGACGAAGCCGCACUUUUUUGGGGUGUGGUGACGGUACCUUUGUUAAGAAGCACCGGCUAACUACGUG
rnacentral:rRNA from 1 species